AUAUGGACUGUAUAUGGAUUACGUAAGUCAAAAUAAUCCAAAUUAGGAAAUGACUAUAAAGUGGAAAUAGUACAUCCGAAUGAACACUUUUUAUAAAGUUUUCAAACUAGGGCUAUUUGUUUUAAAAAGUGCUAUAGAGUGUCAUUUUCCUUUUAUUAACAAAACAAAUCCAAAAAUAUUUACAAAGCCAGGCCCAAAAGUGGCCCGGCCCAAACCCGAUAAAAUUAAUCAAACAACCACCCUAUCUCGAAAUAUCAAUUAGGAAAUAAACUAAUAAGAGAUUUAUAGAAACUCUUUAUCCUCCUCUAUAACCUAGCAGCCAAUUUGUCUUCUCCAAACUUGAAAAUUGUUCCCAUGGUGAAUACGCAAAGUGAAUUUGUUAAGGUCCUUAGAAGAAGCUCGCCACCUUCACGAAUCAUCUAAGUAACAGACCUUCUUUCUUUCUUUCAUGAUUUUCUUAGCUCGGUGGGUUUAGCUUCGAUUGAAGCUAAUACCACCACCUAAGCGAGAAAAAACAAAUCAAGAAGAUUAAAGGUUCCUUAAGUAAUUCAUUUAUUUGUGAAAUAGGAUGGUCCAACCUCCGAAUCAGAAUGUCCAAAAUAGAUCUGAUGUUACUGUUGUUUGAAUACUCGACCCAAUAACAUCCCAAACUCUUACUGAAUGUAGGUGUUGCUAUUCAAAAGAAAUCACUUCCAGCACCAGGGGCUUUAUCAACUGAGGCUGCUGUCACUACUACUAUUUGUGGAAAAGAUUUGGAAACCCAAUCUUUUGUGGAUUACUACUCUACCUUGUCACUUUGUAUUUCUUGCACUUUAUUUGUUGAUAUAAUAGUUGUAUCUUCUAUAUUUUCUCUGUGUAUCCCCCUUUUCUCUAACAAAAUAUUGAAAGGGCUAUUGUCACAUAUCUCUUUAUCUGGACUUGAAGCUCUUUCACUGAGAUAUUCCAUAUUAAUAAACCUUCUUCUUGUAGGAUUCCACUUUUAA